CUCAAUAUGGCCGUCGGCGUCCGCCAUUCGCCUCGUCCUCCCCGGCGAGCUUGCCAAGCACACCAUCCCCGAGAGCUACCACCAGCUCCUCUCCCCUUUCCAGCACAAUCGCUGUGAGAGACCCUCCCUGUUGUUCCUCUGCCUGCUUCCCCAUCACAUUCCACCUCCCCCUAUUUGAAGUUAGUUGCUGCUAGAUCUGGACUACUAUUCAAGACAACUCCAACCCUUUUUUGAUGUCAUUUAUCUAUGCCUUAAAAUUAUACAUGUAGAUGCUCAAGUAGGAUCUCUACCUUUCUGUACUGAUUUUAUACUCCAUAGUAAAAAAAAUCCCAUUAUUAUUAGCAUAUAGUACAUAUCUGAUAACAAAGUAACAAAAUACAGCCAACCAUUUUGUAUUAGAUAUUGACAAUUGGAUGUAGUGCAGAAAUGUGAGUAGAGAAUCAUUUUGCUGCACAUAAGUUUCAUUGGUAUAACAUCAAUCUGAUUAAUUUUGGCACUAUGUGCUAAAAAUAUAUCUACAUUGUCCUGUGUUAGAUGUUGAUGAAAUUCAAAACUGGUCGAAGUUAACUGUUACUGGUGUGAUUUGCUAAGAUGAGUAAAAUACAUGCAGACAAGAGCUAGAAAUCAAUUUCUCAUCUGAGAUGACUAGUUGUAGUAUAUUUAUGUGGUUGCUAACUGAGCAUAUGCAUGCACAUGUCUGAACUGAGAAUAUAAUUAAGCUCUUAUUCCUGAUUAGCUUAGAACAAACAUUUAUGAUGCUCUUUGUUAUAAUGUAAUAGCGAGCUCUUUGUUAUCUUACAUGUUCAUCAAACUUCAAGAAGAGAGUGCGGUCAUGUGGCUUUGGAGCGAAAUGGAUGAGUUGCCUACCUAGAAGAGGGAUGCGAUGGAACUGAAGUGAUGCAUGCCUGUCGUUGCGAAACUGAAACUAUGCUGGGAAGCAGAAACCGAAUUUAAGUGAUGUUUGUGUUGCACCCUAGGUGUCGUUGGUACAUGCUGAUGCAUGCCUGUGUUUGACAUAUGAUGUUUAAACUAUGAUCUGAUCGUGUUGUAUGGCCUUUGAUGUUCUUAGUUUAGAUGCCAUUGAUCUUAAAGAUUAUGAUUUGUUGCUUUUAGUAGUACUUGAUGAUAUGGCCACUGAUGCUUCAGCCUGUUCAAUAGUAAAGAUCGGAUUUUUACCA